UGUGCUCUUUCUCUUAAUAUAUAUUUCUACAUGGUAUCAUCCCUUUCCCUGGCUUAACAACCUUUCUCGAUCUUACUUCUCAUCAUGUCAUCUACCUCUCCACUUCCUGGACCUGUUAUUGCCCAGUUUCUCAAACUCAAUAACUCCAAUUACCUCACGUGGCUUCGUCAGAUCAAGCCAUUUCUUGUUGGUCAUGAUCUGUGGAAGUUUGUUGAUGGCUCCCACCCACCCCCAUCGACCACCCUCACCGUCACUACCACCUCUUCCCUUGCCGCUUCUGACUCCCAUAGUUCUUCCGUGACUACUACCUUUACCAUUCCCAACCCCGCUUUUACCCUAUGGUACCAACACGAUCAGUUGGUCGUAAGCUCCAUCACUACUACCUUGACAGAACCCGUCCUUGCUCUCGUCGUGGGCCAUGACUCCACCCAAGCAGUUUGGGCCUGUCUUCAACGGCGCUUAGCCCACGGCUCUAUUCUCAACUCCGCUACCUUGCAUUACCAACUGCUUGAUCCUUCCAAAGGAUCUCGCUCUAUUACUGACUAUCUUCAGCAUGCUUAAUCUUUUGCUGAUAAACUCGCUGCUAUCGGCCGUCUCGUCGAUCCUAAAGACUUCAUCACCGCUGUUCUCCGUAGUCUUAGAUUUGACUACCUUACCCUUACCACUACUAUCAUCAAUGUCACCCCCUUCUUACCUUUGAUGAGUUGACCUCUAAGAUUGAAGCUUUUGAUCUUCAGAACCCUCACACCUCCACCACUACUGCCGCUUUGCAAACUCCCCUCAUUAUUACUCACCAAGCUCGUGCUUCUUCUCAGUCCUCUGGCAGUCGCAAUAGCAACUAGAACGGCCGUCCCCAACGGAACAGUGGUCCGUAGCGUCAUGCCUCCAGCUGGCGUCCUAGCAGGAAUACCAAUCCCCGCAAUCAACAACAACAAUGGAAUGGGCCUCAUCCAUUCAAUUCUAAGCAACCUUUUCCGUAACCUUCGCAUGGGCCCUCUAAUCCCUCUUAUUGGCCAGGCCCGCGUGGGUUCUUUGGGCGCCCCACCUCUAGUUUACUGGGCCCCGGCCCUUGGUGCCACACUUGCUACACCUCACAGCAUAGUGCUGCACACUGUCCACAUCGCUAUGGCGGCCUAGAACCUUUUCCCCCUUUUGCGGGCUCUCAGGUGGUUUUUUAUCAGGAUCUCAACAUUUGGUUUCACGACACCGGCGCUACCCACCACAUGACGGGCGAUCCUAAUGCCCUCCCCCAUCCACAGUCUUAUCGUGGUCCUAACUCCGUUCAAUUGGGGCCCAUGUAGAGAUGGCCUUUAUCCAUUAUCACUCUCCUCACCACAGGCCCUUGCCGUUUCAUCCUUCACCCCUUGGCAUCACCGUCUCAGUCACCAUUCAUCCUCGAUUUUGUCUCGUCUUAGCUCUAGUUUAGGCUUUAAGUCAUUUUCUUCCAAGUUUUUUUUGUAAAAGUUGUGCUUUAGGCAAGUCCACACAACUUCCUUUUCAAUUAAAUAAUGCAAGGGCUACUACUCCAUUUUAUA